rnacentral:tRNA from 1 species
UUAACUGAAACCAAAGAGAGGUGUAUUAUUGUUAAUAAUAAAAUUGAAUUAAAAUUCCAGUUAAA